rnacentral:rRNA from 1 species
CCUUCGGGUCUAGUGGCGCACGGGUGCGUAACGCGUGGGAAUCUACCCUUAGGUUCGGAAUAACUCACCGAAAGGUGUGCUAAUACCGGAUGAUGUCGCAAGACCAAAGAUUUAUCGCCUUUGGAUGAGCCCGCGUAAGAUUAGCUAGUUGGUGGGGUAAUGGCCCACCAAGGCGACGAUCUUUAGCUGGUCUGAGAGGAUGAUCAGCCACACUGGGACUGAGACACGGCCCAGACUCCUACGGGAGGCAGCAGUGGGGAAUAUUGGACAAUGGGCGAAAGCCUGAUCCAGCAAUGCCGCGUGAGUGAUGAAGGCCUUAGGGUUGUAAAGCUCUUUUACCCGGGAUGAUAAUGACAGUACCGGGAGAAUAAGCUCCGGCUAACUCCGUGCCAGCCGCCGCGGUAAU